rnacentral:rRNA from 1 species
ACCUAUGGCCAUACCAGUCUGAAAGUUCCUGAUCUUGUCAGAUCUCAGAAGUGAUGCAGACUUGGGCCUGAUUAGUACUUGUAUGGGAGACCAACUAGGAACCUCAGGUGCCAUAAGCU